AGCUUUGCGCAGUGGCAGUAUCAUAGCCCAUGAGGUGAAUCCGAGGCGUGAUUAUUGCUAGUUGAAAACUUUUCCCAAUACCCCGCCGCGCUGGCUCCUCGCGGGCCGGUGCCGGCAAUUUUUGACGGCCUCGUGUGAGG
ensembl:snRNA U4 U4 spliceosomal RNA